UGCCACAGACAUAUCACCCUGCAGCCCAAGACUGGUUGCCCACUGAAGCUAAGCAGGGUUGAGCCUGGUUAGUACCUGGAUGGGAGACCUCCUGGGAAAACUAGGUUGCUGUUGGAA
rnacentral:rRNA from 1 species